rnacentral:tRNA from 1 species
GCCGGAGUGGUGAAACUGGUAGACGCAGAGGACUCAAAAUCCUCCGGACUUACGUCCAUCUCGGUUCGAUUCCGAGCUUCGGCACCA